UACAGAGGGUGCAAGCGUUGUUCGGAUUUACUGGGCGUAAAGGGCGCGUAGGCGGCCACCGCAAGUCGACUGUGAAAUCUCCGGGCUUAACCCGGAAAGGUCAGCCGAUACUGCGGGGCUAGAGUGCAGAAGGGGCAACUGGAAUUCUCGGUGUAGCGGUGAAAUGCGUAGAUAUCGAGAGGAACACCUGCGGCGAAGGCGGGUUGCUGGGCUGACACUGACGCUGACAGCGCGAAAGCUAGGGGAGCGAACGGG
rnacentral:rRNA from 1 species